GACACAUUGAGAGGAGUUAUCCUCUUUUGAUAGGGGAUCCUCCAUUAGCUAACUUCUUGGUUACCACCCUUUGACUGCAUUUAGUGGUUAUAGUUUAUGCCUGUUAGAUGCAUUGAGGAUAAAAUCAGUGUAUAUUAGGAUCCUUAAAUAUUAAAUGUUGCUUAAGUGCAAUGUUUCAAAUUGUGGAAAUCUAGAACAUGUCCCUAAAAAU
rnacentral:misc_RNA from 1 species